GGUCCCGUAGCUCAGCUGGAUAGAGCAACGGAUUUCUAAUCCGUAGGUCAGAGGUUCGAAUCCUCUCGGGAUCACCA
rnacentral:tRNA from 3 species